UCCGCUCCCCCCUGGACAUCGAGGGGGGGUCCGGCGUACACUGUACGGUCCGUUCUGGACUCUAGACGUCGGGUGGGGGGCCUGCAGUACCUCGUGGAUUGGGAGGGGUACGGUCCGGAGGAGAGGUGCUGGGUGCUGGUGGAGGACAUCUUGGACCCAUCUCUGCUGGGUUGCCAUUGGAGGUCCGUCUGGGGGAGCACAACAUAAAGGAGCCCGAAGGAGCAGCACAUGUCUGCCCGGUUCAUCCGCCCACCCAGACUACAACUCUGGUACCCAGGAUAGUGACAUCACGCUGAUAAAGCUAAGCCCGCCUGCCACCCUCAACAGCUAUGUGAAGGCUUGAGAUACCAUGAUACACUGCAGUGUGUGGAGGUCCCCCUCCGGACUGAUAACACCUGCCUGGAAGUAUAUUUCUUCCAGAUGACUGAGAACAUGAUCUGUGCUUGCUUCAUGGAGGGAGGCAAGGACUCAUGCCAGGUAACUGACAUAGCAGACCUGUACUAUACUUCAUAUUUCACCAUCUUGU